CCUACGGGCGGCAGCAGUGAGGAAUAUUGGUCAAUGGACGAGAGUCUGAACCAGCCAAGUAGCGUGAAGGAAGACUGCCCUAUGGGUUGUAAACUUCUUUUAUAUGGGAAUAAAAUGUUCCACGUGUGGGAUUUUGUAUGUAACACUUGAAUACGGAUGGGCUAACACCGUGCCAGCAGCCGCGGUAAUACGGAGGAUGCGAGCGUUAACCGGAUUUAGUGGGUUUAAAGGGAGCGUAGGUGGAUUGUUAAGUCAGUUGUGAAAGUUUGCGGCUCAACCGUAAAAUUGCAGUUGAAACUGGCAGUGUUGAGUACAGUAGAGGUGGGCGGAAUUCGUGGUGUAGCGGUGAAAUGCUUAGAUAUCACGAAGAACUCCGAUUGCGAAGGCAGCUCACUGGACUGCAACUGACACUGAGGCUCGAAAGUGUGGGUAUCAAACAGGAUUAGAUACCCUUGUAGUC
rnacentral:rRNA from 1 species